rnacentral:rRNA from 1 species
AUUGAACGCUGGCGGAAUGCUUUACACAUGCAAGUCGAACGGCAGCACGGACUUCGGUCUGGUGGCGAGUGGCGAACGGGUGGGUAAUAUAUCGGAACGUAUCCAAUAAUGGGGGAUAACUAAUCGAAAGGUUGGCUAAUACCGCAUACGUCCUACGGGAGAAAGCUAGGGACCUUCGGGCCUGGCGUUAAUGGAGCGGCGGAUAUCGGAUUAGCUAGUUGGUGGGGUAAAGGCUCACCAAGGCGACGAUCCGUAGCUGGUCUGAGAGGACGACCAGCCACACUGGAACAGAGACACGGUCCAGGCUCCUACGGGUGGCAGCAGUUGGGAAUUUUGGACAAUGGGCGAAAGCCUGAUCCAGCCAUUCCGCGUGAGUGAAGAAGGCCUUCGGGUUGUAAAGCUCUUUCACAAGAGAAGAAAACUUACCCUCUAACAUAGGGUGAGGUUGACGGUAUCUUGAUAAGAAGCACCGGCUAACUACGUGCCAGCCGCCGCCGUAA